AUUGAACGCUGGCGGCAGGCCUAACACAUGCAAGUCGAACGAGUGGCGGACGGGUGAGUAAUGUCUGGGAAACUGCCUGAUGGAGGGGGAUAACUACUGGAAACGGUAGCUAAUACCGCAUACCAUCAGAUGCGCCCAGAUGGGAUUAGCUAGUUGGUGGGGUAACGGCUCACCAAGGCGGCGAUCCCUAGCUGGUCUGUGAGGAUGACCAGCCACACUGGAACUGGGCCACGGUCCAGACCCCUACGGGAGGAAGAAGUGGGGAAUAUUGCACAAUGGGCGAAAGCCUGAUGCAGCGAUGCCGCGGGAAUGAAGAAGGCCUUCGGGUUGUAAAGUACUUUCAGCGGGGAGGCGUUACCCGAAGAGGAAGCACCGGCUAACUCCGUGCCAGCAGCCGCGGUAAUAG
rnacentral:rRNA from 1 species